CCUACGGGCGGCAGCAGUGGGGAAUAUUGGACAAUGGGCGAAAGCCUGAUCCAGCCAUGCCGCGUGUGUGAAGAAGGCCUUCGGGUUGUAAAGCACUUUCAGUGGGGAAGAAAGCCUUGGGGCUAAUACCCUCGAGGAAGGACAUCACCCACAGAAGAAGCACCGGCUAACUCCGUGCCAGCAGCCGCGGUAAUACGGAGGGUGCGAGCGUUAAUCGGAAUUACUGGGCGUAAAGCGCGCGUAGGCGGUCUGAUAAGUCGGUUGUGAAAGCCCCGGGCUCAACCUGGGAACGGCAUCCGGAACUGUCAGGCUAGAGUGCAGUAGAGGAAGGUAGAAUUCCCGGUGUAGCGGUGAAAUGCGUAGAGAUCGGGAGGAAUACCAGUGGCGAAGGCGGCCUUCUGGACUGACACUGACGCUGAGGUGCGAAAGCGUGGGUAGCAAACAGGAUUAGAUACCCUGGUAGUC
rnacentral:rRNA from 1 species